CCAGGAAGGAGAGCACGUCAGCCAGAUUUGUGGGCUGCAUAUCCAUGAGACGACUAUCCCGUUCCACCACACCCCGAGGUGCUCUUUAGGAUUGAUAUCUGGUCUGCCUGACACUGAUGGAGCACUGUGCAGUUUCUGCUAUAAUUCAACAAAGCACAGAUGGAGGAGAUUUCAUAUACUGCCUUCUCAAACACAGUGGGAAUUAUAUUUCCUGCUCAGUCGGCGGAGGUGCUGACUCCUAAGCUCAUUACAGACCACCAGAGAGUCCUGUGGCCUCCAUCUCGCGAGGAGGAGGAGAAGGAGGAGAAAGGGUCCAUGACCCAGACUUGAAUGAAGGCUCUGAGGUGGAAGAGCUAUCUCUGUGAGAGUCCCGCUGGGCACACUGUCUACUGCCUGACAGCUUCACACAGCUAACCCUGCAUUUCUACUGCACUGUGCUCAUGUAGGACUUGCUAUAAUG